rnacentral:rRNA from 1 species
GCAGCAGCCGCGGGAAUACAGAGGGUGCGAGCGUUAAUCGGAUUUACUGGGCGUAAAGCGUGCGUAGGCGGCUUCUUAAGUCGGAUGUGAAAUCCCUGAGCUUAACUUAGGAAUUGCAUUCGAUACUGGGAAGCUAGAGUAUGGGAGAGGAUGGUAGAAUUCCAGGUGUAGCGGUGAAAUGCGUAGAGAUCUGGAGGAAUACCGAUGGCGAAGGCAGCCAUCUGGCCUAAUACUGACGCUGAGGUACGAAAGCAUGGGGAGCAAACAGGAUUAGAUACCCCUGUAGUCCCUGUAUCUUAUAC